AUUGAACGCUGGCGGCAUGCCUUACACAUGCAAGUCGAACGGCAGCAUGGAGAGCUUGCACCUGGUGGCGAGUGGCGAACGGGUGAGUAAUAUAUCGGAACGUACCUUAUCGUGGGGGAUAACGCAGCGAAAGCUGUGCUAAUACCGCAUAAGCCCUAAGGGGGAAAGCAGGGGACCGUAAGGCCUUGCGCGAUUAGAGCGGCCGAUACCUGAUUAGCUCGUUGGUGAGGUAAAGGCUCACCAAGGCAACGAUCAGUAGCUGGUCUGAGAGGACGAUCAGCCACACUGGGACUGAGACACGGCCCAGACUCCUACGGGAGGCAGCAGUGGGGAAUUUUGGACAAUGGGGGCAACCCUGAUCCAGCAAUGCCGCGUGAGUGAAGAAGGCCUUCGGGUUGUAAAGCUCUUUUGUCAGGGAAGAAACAGCAGCUCUAAUACAGUAUGCGAAUGACGGUACCUGAAGAAUAAGCACCGGCUAACUACGUGCCAGCAGCCGCCGUAA
rnacentral:rRNA from 1 species